GUCUGUCUUCAGCUGCUGUAGCAGGAAUUUGUGCUGCUGUUGGUGUCCUGCUGCUGAUGGCUAUUUCUCUUUAUUUACUGCACCGUCCAGUAAGCAGGAAAGACACCAGGACGCAGCACAAUGAUCAGGCGAAUGGUGUUAACGAUUUGUCGCCUAAUCAGAGUGACGUUCCACUGGUGGAUGAUGCUAAUGAGAGGUCCAUUAAUCACCAUUAAUCACACUGAUGCUCUAGUGACAAACACUACCAAUGACCUGUCCUCUAAUCACAUUGAGAUGGAGCCUGC